rnacentral:rRNA from 1 species
GAAUUCAACUCCUACGGGAGGCAGCAGUGGGGAAUAUUGCACAAUGGGCGCAAGCCUGAUGCAGCGACGCCGCGUGUGGGAUGACGGCCUUCGGGUUGUAAACCUCUUUCAGCAGGGACGAAGCGCAAGUGACGGUACCUGUAGAAGAAGGACCGGCCAACUACGUGCCAGCAGCCGCGGUAAUACGUAGGGUCCGAGCGUUGUCCGGAAUUACUGGGCGUAAAGAGCUCGUAGGUGGUUUGUCGCGUUGUCCGUGAAAACUCACAGCUCAACUGUGGGCGUGCGGGCGAUACGGGCAGACUGGAGUACUGCAGGGGAGACUGGAAUUCCUGGUGUAGCGGUGGAAUGCGCAGAUAUCAGGAGGAACACCGGUGGCGAAGGCGGGUCUCUGGGCAGUAACUGACGCUGAGGAGCGAAAGCGUGGGGAGCGAACAGGAUUAGAAACCCUAGUAGUCCAGGCGUU